CUUUUUCAGUCUGGUAGCUCGUAAGGUCAGUGUUGUGACAUGAAAACAACCAUAGCCACCCCGCAACCACCCCUUCCCUAUUCAUCCACAGUGGAAGGAGGAUGAUGGGGUGGAGUGUCGGGGUUGGGAGAGACACCCAGAGAGAUCUCCAACACCCAGCAACCGGACAGGCUGAGGGUCAACUUGUUGAGGCCAGUCCGGGUGGAUUACUGUGACCAAUAGCCCUGCUUGUGUCUACCCGGAGUCUGAUGUAUUUCUGAUAUAUUGUCGACUAUUUCUUAUGGCGCCCGGCGGCUGAUGUGUCAAUCUCUUUGAGGAAAUAAUUGAAACAUUUUCCAGUCACGAAGGGGAGAAGGGGGGAGGAGAGACAACGGGCUUUCAUCGAUCGCUGAUGCUCCUGCAAGCGUGUGGUCGGGUGCAUGAGCGAGUCAGUGUGCGCGUGCACGCACUUGGCUGUGUACGUGUGUCAGAGUGUGUGUUCGCGUGCGUUUCUCUCAACGACGCCCGUACAUGGAAAGACAAACUGGAUUUUUCAACCAAAUUUGUCUAUUUAAAAAAUGUUUCCCUUUAGGAACUGAACCCGACAGCGCUGACUUUUCUCGUAUUCAAGACUCCACAGACGUUGUCAUCAAAUGUCGUGACAGUUGGCGACGACGACCUUUUCCUUGAAAUAUUCGUUUGUGCCCUUCGACCCCACCUUUUCUCCUCGAUAAGCUCGAGAGAAACACUUUCAUGAUUUGUGUGCGUGCGUGCGCGUGCGUGCUGGACACCAAACUUGCUGAAUGAAGUUGAUGCGAGGCAAGACAGGGACGAAUCAUGUACAAUGCUCGGCAAUAGCUGUGACAUCUUUUCGUGACUCCAUCGAUGUCCACGCUGCCUCAGUGGGAGGUAGGGAAGGGGCGUGCCAGCCUCCACCGCCACCUCGCUCCUGUGUGUGCCCAGCAUCAGUUCAGGUGUCGAUGUACGCCGGUCAACAACGGCUUCAGACAUCUGCCCACGCGCCAACAGCCCCUUCUUGGGGUCAAGUGAAGACAGGUGAUAAAGAACAAAGAGGAGGAGGAGGAGGUAUCAAGGAGGAGAGUGGCAGUUCUUAUGCGUCAGGGGAAAUAAGAGAGGCGACAUCUACAAAACUCUAAGCUUAUGAAUGAAUCACAGCGGGGAGCAAACUCUUGAAAUGAAGCUCAAGGGAGGAAACUUUAUCUCAAGACAUUUUUAAAAGGACUUGAAUGAGCCUCGUAGAGGAUGAAAAGAUGCAAAUGGACAGCAGAAGUAGCUCAAGCUUUACCAAAAAAGCUUUAGUUUAGCUUUAGUUUAGCAGAGUUAGCUUUAGUUUAGCAGAUUUAGCUUUAGCUUAGCAAGUUUAGCUUUAGUGUAGUCAGCAUUGUGCUAAUGAAACUCACAAAUAUUCUACAUAAUUCAUCUUUAAUGUGUGACAGACAAUGCCAAAGUAACGGAUCCAGGUUUGUUUUUCGUUGAUUAUUUAUUCAUGUCAACAUCUCAUUCAUGUUAUUGUUUACUUUGAAAGGCGAGAAGCAAACAUAAAAGCUGAAAAUAGAAA